UGGGGAAUAUUGCGCAAUGGGGGAAACCCUGACGCAGCGACGCCGCGUGAGCGAUGAAGGCCUUAGGGUUGUAAAGCUCUGUUUUAAGGGACGAAUGUUACGGGGAGUAAUAUGCCCUGUAAAUGACGGUACCUUAGGAGGAAGCCCCGGCUAACUACGUGCCAGCAGCCGCGGUAAGACGUAGGGGGCGGGCGUUGUCCGGAAUUACUGGGCGUAAAGAGCACGUAGGCGGGACUUUAAGUCAGGUGUGAAAGACCGGGGCUCAACCUCGGGGUGGCACUUGAAACUGGGGUUCUUGAGGGCAGGAGAGGAAAGUAGAAUUCCUGGUGUAGCGGUGAAAUGCGUAGAAAUCAGGAGGAAUACCAGUGGCGAAGGCGACUUUCUGGACUGACCCUGACGCUGAGGUGCGAGAGCGUGGGUAGCAAACAG
rnacentral:rRNA from 1 species